GUUCUAAAACAGUAUAUAUAUACAUAUGAGAAAUUUCCGCUAAACACAGUUGUUCCCUCUAAAAUUUCCUUCUCACACCCUCGUCUGUCUCAGAUCUAAGGACACUCACACCUUGAAAAGCUAUUGGCCAUCUCGAACACCCUAGCCUUUUACUCUUAGCCAUCUUUGGUUACCCAAAGCCUGCCUAGAGCCUGUAACUUUGUUCUCUUCAUCAUCUGUGACCUCAUAUCCUCAAACCCUAAGCCUCUCCUUUGUCUCUUCUCACCAUAGCUGUUGAGAGUUUCUAACCCCGAAAUAGAAAGCUUGAAAUCCGCCUAGUUAACAAUGACAUCAAACCUUUUCCAAGUUCGAAACAAAGAAGCGUGAUAGUAACUCUCUCCUUCGAUUUUUUUAUUUUUUAUUUUUUAUUUUAGGGUUUGUAUGAAGAUUGCUUCGUAUAUGUUUUUCCCCCUUUUGUGCUUUACUCUUUUGGUUUCCGAAAUCUAUUAGUGUUGAUUUGGGUUUUAAUUUUGUGUUUGGGUUUCUUUACUUUGGAUUCAUUUGUGAUUUUGAAAUUUAGUUUUUUCAUUGAUAUUUUAGGAUUAAUUUUGAAAUGUAUUGCGUGGUUUCGGAGCAAUACUUCCGGAAUUUGAAUUCAAGUCAAGGAGACAGACACAACAAUUUGAACUUGUGUCUGGAGAUUUUUUUCUUGGCAAGUGUGAGGUUCUCUUCUUGAUGACGUGAAAUUUCCCAGUGCAGUCUUUAAGAAGAAAGGAGUUUAUUGGCAUGGACAGUCUCUUCAAUGCCCACCCUGAUGGAUGCUUGAUGAGUCUAUCGCCAACAGUGGAUUCCAAGCAUAGGGAUAGUACACUAAAACCUCUUCAUGAUUGAGGGUUUAGAUUGCUUGAAGUCGGACGAGAUGUGCAUUUUUUGUUCAAGGAUACCCCGACUAAAGCAUGGUUUACUAAGAUAAAGAGCGGGAACUAGGACCCUAGUAAGAUACUAUUAGCUCUGGAUUUAUCCAUUCUACUCAGACUCACAAGUCUGUACAAGUAUGGAGGUAUGUACUUGGACACCCAUUUCGUAGUAUUAAAUAAGUUUUUAAGUUUGAGAAAUACAAUUAGAGCAUAGAGCAUAGAUUUGGUGUUUAGGAGCUGACCAGAUUAAAUAAUGCAGUUCUGGUGUUUGAUAAGAAUCAUCCACUUGUAUACAAGUUCAUAGAGGAGUUUAACUUGAUAUUUGAUGGGAACAAAUGAGGUCAUAACGGGCCCUACCUGGUUUCUAGAGUUGUGGACAGAGUGGCCAAAAGACGUUGAUACUUUUCUGUAUUGCUGCCUAUGGCCUUCUAUCCUGUGGAUUGGAAUCGUACUGGAGGUCAUACUCCAUUCUGUUAAGUGUUAAAUUCCAAAUUCAGUUUGAUUUCUGUUUGAAAAUUAUAAUUGUUGUGAGUUUUUUUAACUGUAUUUAAUUUCUUCUGGAUUUGGGCAUUUGAAAUUUUGAUUUGAUUUGCUGAAAUUUGAUUUAAAUCUUGAUGAUGAUUUUGAACUUAAUUAUGUGAUAAUCUUACUGAAAUGAGUCUAUGAAUUUAGUAAGGAUAUUUGCUUUCAUUUGUGUAUUUGUUAAAUCUCUUCCAUGACAACUCACCUCACCAUGUGGUCUUGAGUCAAUGGAAGCUAUUGUACAAAUAAAUUACACUUAAAGAUGAUUAAGAGGUACUUGAUUCUUUUGACAUCAUUAUAUUAUUUCAGUCUACCAGUUCAUUAGGUUUGGAGAUGAUAUUUACUAAGGAAGAGAAUGCACCAAAGAGUUGGAGAAAGAGAGACUAGUGAAGUCAAGAAACGGUAAAAAAGAAAAAAGAAAAAAAGAAAAAGAAAAAACAGAGAGGGUUCUCAAAUAAGGUAACUUCAGCAGGGACUUUGCUGGUAGGUUAGUAUUAGUUGUCCUUAGAUAUUUUGUUUCUUCCUUGCUAUUAAGUUUUCUUUCUUAAUAUAUUCCCUUUGUUUGAUACGUGAGAGGUUGAUUGAAAGUUAUUGUGCAUUUUCAACAGCCCUCAGUAUACUCCAGGCCAUGUUGAUUUUGCAGUUUAUAGUACCCCAAUUAGUGUCCUUCACACCUAUCUAACUGAAAAUGAUUUCACAAAAAAUGCAGCAGGUAACAUAGAGCAGAUUUAAUAAGGCAUUUGAGAAUGCCCUGGCAACUUGUCUUAAGGAUUCAUCAUAUCGGUGGGAGAAUAUCGCUGGACAUGUACCAGGAAAAACCCUAGAAGAUAAAUAAAUAAAUAAAUAAUGAACUUUUGGUUGAAAAUGUUACCUAGAUCAGGUCUGGUUGUGUGCCUCAUUCCCCAGUUUACACACUUCACAUAUUAUCUAUGUUUAUGUUCACAGCUUACUAUAUAUAAUUCAUGUGUCUGGUUUUGCAUAUCCAAUUUAGACUCUAUUUCUUCUACAAAUUUUACUAUUGGGGUUCCUGUUAUUCUAAAUCUGGAUUCAUAUUCUUUUUGUGAACUAGAAUUCACAUAGGUUCAGUCCUCUGUAUUGCUUGAAUUUGAUUCCUGCUAUGCAAGUUAUAUACAAUGGACAGUAGUUUGAAAUGAGAGCAGAAGACUCUGGUCAAUGAGCUUUCAUAAGAGUAGGUCAUGUGCAAUGGUAAAUUAAGAGACAAGGAAAAAAAAAUUAUUGAAUUGCAGUUUUGGGAGAAUAUGGAGUUCCUGUGAUGAAUGUAUCCUUGGUAAUAUUUUGUCUUGGUGCAGUAUGCCAACGUGCAGUAAGUUUAAUAUAAGUGUUAAGACGGUUGUCAAUAUGGGAUUUGACCCAUUAAGAUUGACUUUUAUAAAUGCAUUCCAUGUAAUCUAGGAGCAUAAAGUGGAGUUAUAUAGGAGGUGGGUUGGAUUUAGACUAAGGAUAAGAUUCUAUUGAUGACUAGAAUUUAUCUCUUAUGCAUUAAAUCAUUCAGAAGAAGAUGAAUGUGAUGGAUUUUUUGGUACAUAAGAUGGGUUAGGAACGUACAACUAUUGCCAAAUAUCCACUAUUUUCUGGUAUAAUUUGGAGAAGACAAUCAUUCCAAGGUGUUCACUGCUAAAUGCUGUACUACUGAAGGCCUUGUUGAAGAAUGAUUUGAGUUUGGUUACUUUUUAGGGUCGAUGAGUGGUAUUUCUUGUUAACUUUGUGAUCAAAUCCCACAAAUAUAUUCCUCAGUUGGUAAAUAUAUACCAAGGUAAAAUGAGUUUUCUGGAACUUGGCAUUGGAUCUAAGGAGAAACAUUUAUGUUUCAUCAACCAUAGUAAAAAACAGAGAAGAAUAAAGGAAAACAGGGGAAAUCUAAGUGAAAAAAAGAAUACCUUUGCUUUUUGAGGGAGAUUAUGGAGAGAGAAUUCAACCUCCAAUCUGUAUUUGUGCAUGAUCCAAUUGGUUUUCUCUCCCUUUGGAGUUCUCCCCUUGUAGAAGACUAAAGUUUUCUUCAUUCUAACUAGAGAUUUUCCUCUAAAAAUCUCCUUGUCUUUCCUAGUGGCUUUCCAGUAGCCAGCAUCAAUAGUCCUAUUUGUCCUUCGACUGAUUAGGUAUUUUUUGUUUCUAACAUAGAAAAAACACCACUUCUUUUCUCUUAGAAUUAUUUCAUUAUCCUUGCCAUGUGUAGGGUAGACAUGUUGGGUUUUUCAAAUAUAUCAUAAAUUUUUAUGUUUCUGACUGGCUGUGGAAUGAUAGCAUCUUCCCACAUCUCAUUUUCAACCUCUGCAAGCUCUCCUACCCCGGCAACUUAAGUCUCGAACUGAAAUCUUCUAUACUUGCUUAUUUAUUCUUCUUCUUCUUCUUCUUCUUCUUCUUUUUAUUAUUAUAAUUUGUGAUAGUGGCUCACUUUGACAAGGAAAGAAAAUAGAAAUUCUACUGUUCACUCGGAUUACUCUUACAAAGCUGAGUAGAUCUGCUAGUUCAGUUAAGAAACAAAUGUGAGUUUGAGAAGAGAGGUAAAGUGAGAGAAGUGUUAGAACUCAAUACUCAUGGUCAUAGAUGGUGAAAUUCUUCUUUUUCCAUCAAUGGGCCUAUCCAAAUUAGCCAAAUCAUGUUGUUGAUUUCUGAAUCCAAAUUUUAUGGGUUCUCUAUAUUUUUCAAAUGUGUUUGUCAUUAGGUCAAUUUUGCUAAAUUGUUUAAUUUGAUACCAAAAUCAAUAUGCUACUUAUUAAAACAUGGACACAUGGGAAAACCCUCAAACUCAUUUGUAAAAAAAAAAAAGAAAAAAAGAAAAAAAAAAUCAUAAAAACCCUAAAAUUAGGAAAACCCUUUUUAUUUGUGAAAACAUGACAUGGAAGAUCAUAAAGAAGCAUGAGAGUGAACAUCUCAAAUGAAUUGUAAAACCAAUGAAAAUAAAUCCACAAAAUUUGAUCUUAAAAUUGAAAUGUCCCUCUUAUAUACAUAAAGUUUAUUACAUAAUUAGUGGAUAAAACUAGAUUAAAAUUCUGUCCUAGUCUUGUCCAUGAAUGAACUGAUAAUAUAGAACCCAAGUUUGUAUUAAUUUUUCAGUUACCAUCUGCAGUAGCGAUUCUUGCCGGCCACAAAGUAAGUUUUGCCAUUGUAUGUUGAAAUUGUGGAUAUAUUGUUUAUGAAUUUAUGUAACUUAUUCUCAUCUUUUUUCUAUAUUUAUGUUAUGUUGAUUACCUGUAUAUAAAUAUUAAUGAUAGACUUUCAGGUAUGUUCACAUUGUAAUCUGGUUAUCUUUUUUGUUAGUUUGCUUUCAAUCUUCUCAUCAAAAGAUUCAAGAUGAGUAUUGCGAGGUUGUAAAGAGAAUGGUCAUGACUGGUUAGUCUGUAAACUCUCAAAGAAUGACAAAGAAAAAAAGAAACCAUAAGUUGUCUUUCUAGGACUUUGGGCUCUCAAUGAAUGACCCUAUUUCUAUCCAUUCACUCUGUGUUGUGUUUGAACAGUAACUAGAACUAGACCAGAUGAAGAGGUGAGUCUGAAUCCUCUAUUAGAAUUUGAGCUAUAAUGGAUAUAGGUGUUAUCAUAAUUGACAAAAAUUUAAUUAAUUUUUUAGACAAUAGACAACCUGAAUGAAAUUGGAAGCAGCGAGCAAAUCUUUCAGAAGACAAUGCAAGAGAUGGGUAGAGAAUAGUUGUGUUAGCUUUUGGUUGUUGAAACACAAAUGCCUUGAAUAUUUCCCUUUAGUCCUUAAUGAGAGUCAUGGUUGCAGGUGUUGGCUACACUAGAAGAAAUUCAGGAAAGACACGACACUGUGAAGGAAAUUGAGAAGUUCCUUGACUUGAAUCAAGUAUAUUGGCAUCCAGAUGCAAGAGCUUGAAAUAUCCACAAUGUGUAAUCUUGUUUUGUGUUUUCAUUUUUAGAUUUACCUAGAUAUGGUGAUUCUCAUGGAGGCCCAAGGAGACCUAUUAGAUAACAUUGAAAACCAAGUAAAAGAUUUCUAGCUCAACUGUUGAUAUGCAACCACCGGGAAUACUUUUGGUCUGUUCUUCUUUUUACUUGUAAUAUUAAUUUUGACAGGGAAUUUAGAUAUCUCGUUUUUUGGUACAUAUAUACUUGUUUUUAUGUUGGGGGAAAAUAUGUUUGUUGUAAAUAUUUUGAUAUAUUAACAAAUUCAUGUAUUAAUUAAUUUUGUAAACAUUAGUUCUUUA